rnacentral:piRNA from 1 species
UGCCAUGAUGCUGCCAAACUCUGGACCAC